UGCACCAUCUGCUUCCUUAGGUGUGGCAGGAGACUAACACUAUUUUCCUAAAUGCAUUUCCAAAAUUAAACACUUUCUCUCUUGGGGGGUUUCUCUCCACAAAGGAAUCUUUAUUGAAAUGGUUGCCUUUGUCAUUCUUAACUAGCAGGGCAUUCCUUCACAUCACUAUCAUUGAUGUCAUCGAUGAUGUCAUGAAGCAGGGAGCAUGGCAGCCUUGAGACUCCAUCCCCAGGAUCUCUUUAAUGCCUCCCAAGAAAGAGUUCUCUAACUAAAGAUGGGUGCUGCAUCCGUUGGCAAUGUUGACAUUAUCAAAAAUGCUAUUUCUACUGUGUUUAAUGUUUUCCUGCUUCUUUUUGUCUCUGUCCGGUUCCUUGAGGACUUGGAUGAUGAAGGGAGAGACAGAAAGUGUCACCUUAAUGUGAACUUGUCUGUUCUGAAUGGUCCACUGUCAUCCUUAGACUGCUCCAGUCACUGGUUGCCAAGGCAAUGCCAUCACCCAACCCAUCACCCGGGGUCUAAGGGCAGAUAUGGUGCUGACUUCCCUGUUGGUGCACCUCAGAUGAGAACCAGACCCUGCACAGUAGAACAUCUUUCAAGGUCUUGAUUAUCUGGAUAUUGGGGGCUGGCAUCCCAGACUGUUGUCACUUAACACUACACUGCCCACCACUUCCCUGGGUAGAAUGAAUGUAAGCCACAAAACAAGCCUGAAACCAACCAAAGGAAGCAAAAAAAAAAAUUAUGAAUGGAUUGUGAAAUGUGAGUUCAUUGAGAAAAGCAACUGUU